rnacentral:rRNA from 1 species
GGAGUUAGCCGGUGCUUCUUCUGUGAGUGAUGUCCUUCCUGCCGGUUAUUGACCCGCAGGCCUUCUUCCUCACUGAAAGUGCUUUACAACCCGAAGGCCUUCUUCACACACGCGGCAUGGCUGGAUCAGGGUUGCCCCCAUUGUCCAAUAUUCCCCACUGCUGCCUCCCGUAGGAGUCUGGGCCGUGUCUCAGUCCCAGUGUGGCUGAUCAUCCUCUCAGACCAGCUACGGAUCGUCGCCUUGGUGAGCCGUUACCUCACCAACCAGCUAAUCCGACAUAGGCUCAUCCGAUGCGCGAGGCCCGAAGGUCCCCCGCUUUCCCCCGUAGGGCGUAUGCGGUAUUAGCCUGGGUUUCCCCAGGUUAUCCCCCACUACCGGGCAGAUUCCUAUGCAUUACUCACCCGUCCGCCGCUCGCCACCAGGGAGCAAGCUCCCCGUGCUGCCGCUCGACUUGCAUGUGUUAGGCCUGCCGCCAGCGUUCAAUCUGAGCCAGAAUCAAACUCUGA